UAACGCGUGGGUAACCUGCCCUGUACAGGGGGAGUAACAAGUCAGAAAUGACUGCUAAUACCGUAUAAGACCACAGCACCGCAUGGUGCAGGGGUAAAAACGUACCGGUGGUACAGGAUGGACCCGCGUCUGAUUAGCUGGUUGGUGAGGUAACGGCUCACCAAGGCGACGAUCAGUAGCCGGCUUGAGAGAGUGAACGGCCACAUUGGGACUGAGAGACGGCCCAAACUCCUACGGGAGGCAGCAUG
rnacentral:rRNA from 1 species